UACGAAGGAUGCAAGCGUUAAUCGGAAUUACUGGGCGUAAAGCGUGCGUAGGCGGUUUCUUAAGUCUGCUGUGAAAGCCCUGGGCUCAACCUGGGAAUGGCGGUGGAUACUGAGAAGCUGGAGUACGGUAGAGGAAGGUGGAAUUCCCGGUGUAGCGGUGAAAUGCGUAGAGAUCGGGAGGAACAUCAGUGGCGAAGGCGGCCUUCUGGACCAGUACUGACGCUGAGGCACGAAAGCGUGGGGAGCAAACAGG
rnacentral:rRNA from 1 species